GGCCCCAUAGCAUAGCCUGGAUAGUGCGGUCGGCUUCGGACCGAUUGACGGGGGUUCGAAUCCCUCUGGGGUCG
rnacentral:tRNA from 1 species